GUCCCUUUCGUCUAGCGGUUAGGACAUCGCCCUUUCACGGCGGCAACAGGGGUUCAAAUCCCCUAAGGGACA
rfam:Buchnera aphidicola (Cinara tujafilina), complete genome.